CUGCUGAGGAGUCCCACAAUAGGACGAAGUGGCCGUCAAGCAG
rnacentral:hammerhead_ribozyme from 1 species